rnacentral:rRNA from 1 species
UACGUAGGGCGCAAGCGUUAUCCGGAAUUACUGGGCGUAAAGAGCUCGUAGGUGGUUUGUCGCGUUGUCCGUGAAAUUCCCUGGCUUAACUGGGGGGCGUGCGGGCGAUACGGGCAGACUGGAGUACUGCAGGGGGAGACUGGAAUUCCUGGUGUAGCGGUGGAAUGCGCAGAUAUCAGGAGGGAACACCGGUGGCGAAGGCGGGUCUCUGGGCA